UUGUUUAGAAAUCACUACAGGCCCCACCGCAACGGUGCGGCACCAUUGCUCGCCACGCCGGCAGCGAGCGUCAAAAACCGGCAGAACGACUCUGCCCGGCCUCAGACGAGGCCGACGGGACAUAACAGUCAAC
rfam:Pseudomonas sp. M47T1 contig07, whole genome shotgun sequence.